rnacentral:rRNA from 1 species
GACGAACGCUGGCGGCGUGCUUAACACAUGCAAGUCGAACGGAAAGGCCCUGCUUUUGUGGGGUGCUCGAGUGGCGAACGGGUGAGUAACACGUGAGUAACCUGCCCUUGACUUUGGGAUAACUUCAGGAAACUGGGGCUAAUACCGGAUAGGAGCUCCUGCUGCAUGGUGGGGGUUGGAAAGUUUCGGCGGUUGGGGAUGGUCUCGCGGCUUAUCAGCCUGUUGGUGGGGUAGUGGCUUACCAAGGCUUUGACGGGUAGCCGGCCUGGGAGGGUGACCGGCCACAUUGGGACUGAGAUACGGCCCAGACUCCUACGGGAGGCAGCAGGGGAGAAUAUUGCACAAUAGGCGGGAGCCUGAUGCAGCAACGCCGCGUGCGGGAUGACGGCCUUCGGGUGGUAAACCGCUUUCGCCUUUGACGAGGCGUGAGUGACGGUAAUGGGUAAAGAAGCACCGGCUAACUACGUG